rnacentral:rRNA from 1 species
GUUCUCCAAUCAAGCAGGACUACCCGCUGAACUUAAGCAUAUCAAUAAGCGGAGGAAAAGAAACUAACAAGGAUUCCCCUAGUAACGGCGAGUGAAGUGGGAAAAGCUCAACUUUGUAAUCUGGCUCUUUUAGAGUCCGAGUUGUAGUCUAGAGAAGUGAUAUCCGCAUCGGACCUUAAACAAGGUUGUUGGAAUGCAGCGUCGUAGAGGGUGAGAAUCCCGUACAUGUUGAGGACUCCCGUAUGCAUUGUGAUACAUUUUCAAAGAGUCGAGUUGUUUGGGAAUGCAGCUCAAAUUGGGUGGUAAAUUCCAUCUAAAGCUAAAUAUUGGCGAGAGACCGAUAGCGAACAAGUACCGUGA